rnacentral:rRNA from 1 species
CAAGUCGUGCGAGAAAGUAUCUUCGGAUAUGAGUAGAGCGGCGGACGGGUGAGUAACGCGUAGGAAUCUACCUAGUAGAAGGGGAUAGCCCGGGGAAACUCGGAUUAAUACCGUAUACCUCCUUUGGGAGAAAGAAGGCCUCUCUUUGAAGCUUUCGCUACUAGAUGAGCCUGCGUAAGAUUAGCUUGUUGGUGAGGUAAAGGCUCACCAAGGCGACGAUCUUUAGCGGGUCUGAGAGGACGAUCCGCCACAUUGGGACUGAGACACGGCCCAGACUCCUACGGGAGGCAGCAGUGGGGAAUAUUGGACAAUGGGCGCAAGCCUGAUCCAGCCAUACCGCGUGUGUGAAGAAGGCCCUAGGGUUGUAAAGCACUUUAAGUUGGGAAGAAAAGUUAUUGGUUAAUACCCAAUGACCGUGACAUUACCUUCAGAAUAAGGACCGGCUAAUUCCGUGCCAGCAGCCGCGGUAAUACGGAAGGUCCAAGCGUUAAUCGGAAUUACUGGGCAUAAAGCGCGCGUAGGUGGUUUAUUAAGUUGGAUGUGAAAUCCCCGGGCUCAACCUGGGAACUGCAUCCAAAACUGAUUCACUAGAGUACGAUAGAGGGAGGUAGAAUUCACAGUGUAGCGGUGGAAUGCGUAGAUAUUGUGAAGAAUACCAAUGGCGAAGGCAGCCUCCUGGAUCUGUACUGACACUAAGGUGCGAAAGCGUGGGUAGCGAACAGGAUUAGAUACCCUGGUAGUCCACGCCGUAAACGAUGUCAACUAGCUGUUGGGAAACUAUGUUUUUCAGUGGCGCAGCUAACGUAGUAAGUUGACCGC